ACACGAACCAAACGGGCCCUUAGCAAUGUAUCUUCUCCUUUGUCUAUUUAUACUUUCUUUCUAGAGAAAAGAGACGAAAUUGUAACGUCGUUUUGAAAGCAGAGCCCCUUCCCUCUCUAGUCUCAAGUCUCUAGCUUGUCUCAGACCUUGGAAUUCUGUCUAUUUUUCCCGAUGUUUCUCUCCUAUUUUGGGUUUCGUUUGCAAGAAAACUCAAAUCCUUGCAUCUUGUUUUAGCUUUUGUUUAUUUUGUGACUGUAAUCCCCCAAAGCAAGCCCUUUUUGUAUGGCGGAGUUUCCUCCGAAUUUGGACGAUGGAGAAGUGUGGCUUCCCUCCGAUAUUUUUCUCAACGAAGUAGUGCCGGCUUCCUGUCUCAGCCACCGUAACUUAUCUUGCGUCGACAACCUUGCUGAACGUUUCGCUGCUUUCGCGGUGCUCCAGCAUCGCCGAAACGUUUCCAAUGCUCCCCGCAAUCUGUCCCCAAACUUAGAGUGGUUCAGACCAGAGGUUCAAAAGUUCGGUACGAUUAGUCGUGUGCCACAGGAAUAUAUGAGCCUCAAUGGCGGUUAUGAAAACACCGGUCGCGGUCUAUGCGGGUGCGGAGCCAGGCCCUACUCUCCCGUAAACAAAUUGCUCUACGAGUACCAGCUCCUGCAACCAUCUCAACCUAAGGCUGUUGUUGACGGCUUAAGCGCGAGGGUCCUGCGGAAUCAGCAAAACCGCCUUCAAAAUCGCCUUUUGCCGUUUCAGGGAAGUACUGGGUUUGGGCUUAGUGGUGGCUGUGUAAAAGAGUCUGGUGGUACAGGUGUCUUCAUUCCCCGUAUUUUGAACACCUCCGCCACCACAAGUGCUGUCGCUAGUGAUACAAGAAAGCGAAAGGGUGAGUUAUCAAACCUACGCUUGAACUUUUUUAUCUUUUUUUGUUUACUUAAACUGUUUUACGCUUGUGUGUUGCUUUAAAUCUGCAUUAUGGGAUAUUUUUUCUUUGCUCUUGCGUUCAAACGGUCGAGGUAAAGCAUGGAGGGUUUGCUGGGAAAUAAGGAAAGCAUAGUUCUGAGAAAUGAACAGGAGACUCAAGUAACGGGGAACUCCCUCAAAGGAAUUGAUGUAGCCAAGCAAAGGGAAAGUCAUUACUAUCUUCCUCCUGAGAUGAGUUUGCCUCAAGACUGGACUUACUGAACUCAUCUACUACAAACUCGUUUUUGCUGUAAAUUGAUCUUCUGGCUUGAGGAUGAUAUUAAGUAGAGCUCAAGGAAAGAAGAAUGGAAGGUCAAAAUAAUCUUUUGGGUAUCGUGCAGUAAAGCUAAAGAAAUGGAAGUUUAGAGAACUUGGGUUUGUUUUUCUUCCCGAUGCUUACCUUUGUAGAAAUAAAUAAAUAAGUGCUUGGAAGGUUGUCUUUGUACGUAGGAAAUUGAACUGUUUCCUCAGCUGGGUAGUUUAUUAGUAGGCUAAUAGUAUAUUAGUAGGAAAAUCAUAAAUUAGUAUCUCGUCAUUAGUGUAAUAAUUUGUGGUUUCUUGGAA